AGACUAAAGAAGAAUUCAAGCAAUUAAAACUUUUUAUCAUUAUAUUUGAUUUUUAAUCUAGCUUGAUUAAUUAAAUAAGAUUUUGCAACAAAGUGACAAGUAACAUAUAAUACCACCCCCCUUAAACGAUCCCCCAAAUUUAUUUCACAUAUAUAGAGUUAACGAGUUAUACAAGCAUUACAAGUAAAAAUAAAGGACAAAUAAAAAUAUAUAUAACAAUAAAAUGAACGGGGCUUCGUCCACAAUUUCUUCUAGGCAAAUCUUCAACAUCUUGAACUAUAAGUUCAAAACCUGGUAGAAGAGGUAAUGUAAAACAUAUACAAUGAGCAAAUAGUUAUAAUAUAAAAUGCUCAUAGUAACAAAUUACUUUCAUAUGUACAUAUAUAAACAAUACACAUAAGAAGUAAAAGGGACAAAGCAUAAAUGAAGACAUGUUACCACACAUAGGGAGAAAGGAUAAGAGAAAUAUCUUGGAAGCUUCCUUUUGUUUCCAACAACAACAAUGAUAGUUAUGUAAAAACGAGAUUUUAGAAUAGUAAAGAAGACUAACCAAUUACGCAGAAAAUUUUAUCACUAAUGAAGUAUUAAGCAAGGUUUCGAUCCACAAUAGCAACACAACAAGAAAUGGUCCAAAGGAUGAUUCAAGAGUUCUUACUUUUUAAAGAAUUGGAGAGGAAUAUUUAAAGUAUUUUAAAGAAUGAUCAAGUUGAAAGAUGAGAGUUGAGAGUAAUGAGAGAACUUGAAUUAAAAGUGAUUGAAUGAGUUGAGUAAGGGUCUAUUUAUAUAAUGAAGGAGAGGGCCAACGAAAAGGAAAAACCAAUCAGUAGCAAAAUAUGGAAAAUAUGCUCCCUUAAUAAAAUUAGUAAAAUCCGCACAAAAUCUUUUCAUAUACGAAUAUUUCUUUCAGUAAAAUAUCCAUACAAUACAUUUAAGGUAAAUGAAUCAAUUAAUGUAAAAUCAUCCCCUUUUUUAUGGAAUAUGUUUACCAUAAAAGAUCUGUCUACCUUUUAACUAAGGCAAGACAACCCAGAAUUUAAAUAAUAUAUAAUACCAAGUGAAAGAGGGGUUAUUUAAAGGAACAGUACAAUUUGGAUCCUAAUCACCUACCAUAAUAUGCUUUCAUAUACUAAAAUAGCACAAACAUCAUUCUAUUUUAUUUAUUUAUUUUUACUAGAGAAGGAGGCGAUUCUAAACUGUAAAAGAAAGCAAUCUAAUAAUAGCAAUUUCCUCAGACGCUAAACAAGAAGGAAUCAUCAAGAUCAGUAUUCAAAAGUUAAGGAAGUAAUAAUGUCAACAUAUAAUUAAAGGAAAUAUUGACAUUCUAACUCGAACUUUGAACAAAAAUUCAACAAGGUUAGAAUACUGCACAUUCGAAAAAUCUGAUCAUCACAAGUAAGAGCAUGAUCAUCAUCAAAAGUAUCAAGAAAUUAUAUAUGGCAAGUGACUGUCAUUUACCUAAGGUAGCAUACAAGAUGAAGUUUUUCAAAAUCAAGUUAGGAAAAUUUGUUUUUAAAAGAUGGGUUAACAGUUAAGAGAAUGUACCUGGACGGAUCAGUUAAGAUCCGUCAUCCAAAAAAUUAGAAAAACCUCAUAGCUCUGCCGGAAAAAUGAAGCGUAGAAGAAAAGGACUCGCCUCAGUCCAUCAUUUGUUGUUCGGUGCUUAUUAUCCUCUGGUGCUGCUAUUUCUUCGAGCACUGGAGUGCUGGUCCUUGCAACUCAUCUGGCGCUGCUGUAUCGGCAGAGAAAGAGAGAAGGGAGGAUGGAUUAAAAGAGGCGAGGGGAGGAGAGAAAGGAGAAGAGGGAGGCACAGAGGGGAGAAGUGAGAGGAGAAACAAGCGAUGCUGCCUAGUGAAGCUUGCCGGAGCUGUUGCUGUUCUCGCUAGGGAUGAGGAGACGAGACUGGAGAGAGGGGUGAGAGAGGAGAAGGAGGGAGGAGGAGCAACGGGAGAGGGGAGUAGAAGAGGAGAGGGGCGUCGUCGGUGGCUGCUCUCGCCGGAGCGAAUGGAGAGGAGAGAGUGGAGGUGGCGGCUGCUCUAGAGAGAGGGGAAGAGAAUGAGAUAAAAUUUUAGGUUUUGGGUCAUUUGGUGUUAAAGAGAGAGAUAGGAAAAGUU
rnacentral:lncRNA from 1 species